AUUGAACGCUGGCGGCAGGCCUAACACAUGCAAGUCGAACGAGUGGCGGACGGGUGAGUAAUGUCUGGGAAACUGCCCGAUGGAGGGGGAUAACUACUGGAAACGGUAGCUAUUACCGCAAACCUUCGGAUGUACCCAGAUGGGAUUAGCGAGUAGGUGGGGUAACGGCUCCCCUAGGCGACGAUCCCUAGCUGGGCUGAGAGGAUGACCAGCCACACUGGAAGUGAGACACGGUCCAGACUCCUACGGGAGGCAGCAGUGGGGAAUAUUGCACAAUGGGCGCAAGCCUGAUGCAGCCAUGCCGCGUGUAUGAAGAAGGCCUUCGGGUUGUAAAGUACUUUCAGCGAGGAGGCGUUACUCGCAGAAGAAGCACCGGCUAACUCCGUGCCAGCAGCCGCGGUAAUAC
rnacentral:rRNA from 1 species